UACGGGGGAGCAAGCGUUGUUCGGAUUUACUGGCGUAAAGGCGCGUAGGCGGCCACCGCAAGUCGACUGUGAAAUCUCCGGGCUUAACCCGGAACGGUCAGCCGAUACUGCGGGGCUAGAGUGCAGAAGGGGCAACUGGAAUUCUCGGUGUAGCGGUGAAAUGCGUAGAUAUCGAGAGGAACACCUGCGGCGAAGGCGGGUGCUGGGCUGACACUGACGCUGAGACGCGAAAGCGUGGGUAGCAAACAGG
rnacentral:rRNA from 1 species